CCUGGGCUCAGGGAGUUGGGCGUGGGGGACGCCGACGCUGUCAUCGCUCCUUAGGUUUCGCCUGCCAGGGCUCCCAGUAAAGAGUUGCAGUAGAAGCAGACGGCGUGGAUGACAGAUGCUUGGCGAUACUGCAUUUGGUGCUGAUUUGGCGUCAACAAUGAGCCUUUUCUUCGGCCGUAAAUAGAAAAAUGUGGGUGUGGACAUAAUGAAGCAAUUGUAUGGCUGGAAAUUAGAUACUUAGAAUUCUCUGGGCACAUAUCAAGAGACUAGCUGUUUCUUUGAAUAAAUAUCAUGGCAAUAAAAGGACACAAAGGCCAAAAAGCUGAGCCUACCUGACCUCUGCCUUACAUAGAAAUGAUUGUGACCUUUGGAUGUUGGAAAAUGAAAAACUUUGGCAGGUGGAAGCCAGGACAUCUUAUGGUGAAGCACCUAUUAGCUGAAACAUGGCAAAAUUCUGACACUGUCGACUGUGGACUAGUGGCUUUUUCACUCCCAGCUCCGCAGAGAUACUCCAUUUGAGUGAAACCUGCACGGCCCUGUAGCCUAAGCCAGCAACCAAAAGGGGAAUGCCGGAUUUCAAAAGCAAUAAAAGAAAACAAAACCAGACAGAGAACAGGUCUGUUUUCUAGGACAUAUCAACCUUACACCACGUUGCCAGAAUCACAUUUUAUUGAAGAUGACAAACAGAUAAAAUCCCGCCAUUGCUGAUGGAAGACGUCUUUUGGGCCUACACUGCCAGCUUACGGCACUGGCCUAUGCCAGAGCCACAGCAAUGCCAGAUCCAAGCCACGCCUGCGACCUACACCACAGCUCAUGG